AGCGUGGCGCUCCACAUGGACA
rnacentral:miRNA from 1 species